CCUACGGGCGGCAGCAGUAGGGAAUCUUCCACAAUGGGCGAAAGCCUGAUGGAGCAACGCCGCGUGGGUGAAGAAGGUCUUCGGAUCGUAAAACCCUGUUGUUAGAGAAGAAAGUUCGUGAGAGUAACUGUUCACGUUUCGACGGUAUCUAACCAGAAAGCCACGGCUAACUACGUGCCAGCAGCCGCGGUAAUACGUAGGUGGCAAGCGUUAUCCGGAUUUAUUGGGCGUAAAGGGAACGCAGGCGGUCUUUUAAGUCUGAUGUGAAAGCCUUCGGCUUAACCGGAGUAGUGCAUUGGAAACUGGGAGACUGGAGUGCAGAAGAGGAGAGUGGAACUCCAUGUGUAGCGGUGAAAUGCGUAGAUAUAUGGAAGAACACCAGUGGCGAAAGCGGCUCUCUGGUCUGUAACUGACGCUGAGGUUCGAAAGCGUGGGUAGCAAACAGGAUUAGAUACCCGAGUAGUC
rnacentral:rRNA from 1 species